rnacentral:lncRNA from 1 species
UUAAAUUUAGCCUUAUAUUUUUUUUUUUUAUAAAAAUAGUAUUAUUAUUAUUCUAUUACUAUUUCAUCACAAGGCUUUUAAGGAAACUUCAUUAAGCCUAGAAGUAGAAAGAGAGCUCGGCUUUAAUGAGGCUUCUCCCUAAAAAUACAGCUUGUCCUUUCCCAGCCCAACCCUAACCACCCAACAUAGCUCAAACCCUAACCGCCACCACCAGGCCUACUAGCACAUAAAUUUACAACACAACCCCAACAAACCACCCAAAAAGAACUCCAACCCAAGGAGAUUACUGUACUUUAAAUACAAAUACAAAAUCAGAGGGGGGUUCGUCAGAGACCGUGUUUUUGCAAGAACCAGUGUUAUAUGUAGCAAGUGCAGCUUUAAGGUGUUUGGUAUUGUUUGCUGAGCUCCGGAAACCUGAUCCGAAUCGUGAAGCAUCAAAGAAAGCCCUUGAACAUAAGAAAGAAAUCACUAAGCAUUUGGGUCGUUCCUUUAUCCAAACAAACCCUUAUCAGGCGCGCGCGCAAAGUUUAUAUUUUUGCUGAAAAGAUUAGAUUUUUUUUUGCAUAUUUUGUUUUGGGCUUUUUUUUUUGGGUUUUAGAGGAUUAUGUGAAUCUUGGUUCUAGGGGUAAUUAAUGGAAUUUAGGUUUGUUUUGGUUUAUUGUUUUCUGGAGGAUUCUGUGAAUUUUGGUUAUAUGGUCAGAUAAUGAAACAAAUAAUUUUGUGAAUUUGGAUUAUAGGGUUAGUUAAUGGCAUAUAGGCUUUGUUUUUAUUAUGUGCUAUAGGUUUUAUUAUAUGCUUGAAUUGUCAUUUAUCUGCAAAAGUUUGAGUUUUGUUUGUGAUAGUGGGGUUGAGGUUGAUAUUGCAAUAAGGGAUGUGGGUGGUUUAUUGUAGGGAAUAGGGAUUUAGGGGGGGGUCUGGGUGUUUUGAUGUAGAUAGGUGCUUUAAUCGUUGUUUUGGAUAUGAGUGAGUGAAUGCUUGUGCCAAAUGGGAUGCGAUUAAGUUUCCAGUUUUGCUGUGAUGAAUGAAGUUGCUUUUUGGUAGUUGAAACUAAGUUAAUUUCAGAUUGAGUUAUUUGUUUAACUUUUGAACUGAUGGGUUGGAGGUUAGGCCUCUGGGUUGAUGAAAAGUUCAAAUUCUUGUGUGACAAUGGAGAUGGGGGCAAUGAGAUUAAGAUUGCGAUGAGGUAUCUUGGUGGUUUAGUGGGUUAUUGUAUGGAUUAGGGGAUUUGGGUGUUUUAGUGAAGAUAGGUAAUUUAAUCAAUUUUUGGGACGGGGAGUGACUCCUUGUGCUGAAUAGGGUGUGUUUAAGUUUCCAGUUCUGCUGGGAUGCAUGAAGUUGUCUUCUGUUGGUAGAAACUAAGUUCAAUUCUGAUUGAGUUGUAUAUUGAGCUUUUGUACUGGAGCGCUGGAGUUUAGGCCUCUGGGUCGAUGUUAUAGCAUGCUUGAAUUGUCAUUUAUUUGCUAGAAUUUUGAAUUUUGUGUGAUAAUAGGAUGAGGACCAUAAGGGUAAGACUUCAAUAAGGGAUGUGUGUGGUUUGGUGGGUUAUUUUAGGGAACAUUGAUUGGAGAAUUAGGGUGUUUUGGUGAAGAUAGGUGCUUCCAACAGUUUUGGGGAUGUUGGGGAGUGAUUGCUCAUGCUGAAUGGGAUAUGAUUAAAUUUCAAGUUUUGUUGGAUGGAUGGAGUUAUUUUUGGUUGGUGGAAACUGGAGACCAAGUUCGUUUUAUUAAAUAUUGGAACUUUUGUACUAUUGUGUUGACCUUGGAUUGGUGCUAUAGUAUUGUUGUCAUUGUUUAUACAACCAUAAACCGUUAUAAUAUUUCCUGGUGUCUUCAAACGUGCCAUUUGUUUUCUAGGCUGUCUAUACUUUGUUGGCUGCUACCAUGCAACAAACAAAGUUUCUAACGUCAACUGAAUACAUGAAAAUGUCCAUCAAAUGGAGUACAUUUGAGUCUCUUCUAUAUCAUAAACUAAUGGCACAUGAUUAUUAGUUACAUUUAUAUGAGUCCACCUUUUUUGAAAAUGAUACUAUGUGAACGCUGAUGGCUGCUAUGUUCAGUAAUAGCCUCCUGCGUGACUAACUUGACAGGUUCAUAGUUGGAAGAAAUUAAAUUUGAAGACUUGGCCUUGAACCAAUAUGAUUGCUAUAACUGGGAAACAUAGAUAUUAGUUCUUUCUAUGCCUAAUGAAAUUUGGAUGGAAAACCAAAUUUUCAAUUAUGAAGCCUUCUGACGGCAAUUGCUUUGUCGAAGAUUUAAACUGCUUCGUAACAAUCAUGCCUAUCCUCUAAACACUAUCCAAUAUGGCCAUGUUCUCAUGUUGAAAAUAUAAUUGAUUGGAAUAGAGGUUCGGUUUAAUGGUUUAUCAAUAUGCUGUAAUUGUAUAUUUUUAUUUUUCAAUUGGACGAUUGGAAUCUAUCAAGCAAGCUUUGUAUGAACUGGUGAUUCUUCCUCUGCGGAAACCUGAGCUCUUCUCACAUGAGAAACUUCUUGGUCCACAAAAGGGGGUAUUGUUAUAUGGACCUCCAGGCACCCACCGACUAUGUUGAGUGAAAUUUAGUUUCACUUUGAUAAUGGAAGCAAGGUAGUACUUUGUGAACAUUCUUAACUAAGAUUGAACAUUCCUAACUUGUCCUUUUUGAAGAUCUUUAUUAGCAGCAAGAUUAUUUUGAAUGCUCUAUUAGCUUUAAAAAACAGGGCACUGUAGCUUGCUUAUCUAAUGGAUCUUACUCCGAUGAAUGAGAUUGUAAAAUGAUCAAAAUAUCUUAAUUCUUAAAAUGCUACUAUUCAAUAGUCAAAUUCUCAAAUUCAUAAUAAAAAAUUAUGUAUAAAAAGAAAAGAGAGAGAGAGAGAGGGAUUGUGCUUGGACUUUGGAUCCCCAGCUCCCAUUAACAAUGGGUUCUGCUCACUCGUCUGCCUUUCCUUAACAUCAUUACAAUGAUAUUCUGUGUUUCAAAGAAGAACCCAAUAGUUUUUUUGCUAUUUACUUCUUGAUUUUUUCUCCUUUUAACUGCCCUAGUAAUCUUUUGUUCAUGAUGAUUAUGAAAAAAACUUGUUUGACCGCUACAGUGUUCUGUCCUCAUAAUUUCAAUUUGUAAAUGGAUCGAGCAAAGAAACCCUACCAAUCAUGAUUGAUGUCCUGACCAUAAUUUUAAUUUGUAAAAGGAUCAAGCAAAAACAUUCAUGAUUGAUAAUUUACUUGCUUUAACUCAGACACAAACAUAUUAAAAAUAUUUUUUUUUAUUGUAGAAAAAAUAUUUAUUUAAUAUUGGUAUAGAUAGAGGUAAUUAUUUUCGGUUCGAGUCAAAACAUAAUAAUUAAAUUAAUUUAAAAGGAAAAAAUCAAAACCGAUUUGGCUCGGUUUUUUCUAUUGAAUGGUACUGACUUAUGCAUUUAUGCAACAUACCAGGCUACAAACUGAAUAAUCUUGCAAUACAUUGAUGAUUAUUUACUAUUGAAUAGUAGCAUUUAGGUCAGCAUCCACAACUCUUUCUUACAUGGUGAAAAAGAAUAAACGCAAAGGUUGAAUAUGAGUUUUCCUCUCAAGACUUUAUGGAAGAUAAGAUUUCUGGAAAAUUUUCCAAAACUGACUUCUUUUUGAAAAAUUAUUACAUGGAUCACGUUCGAUUGGUCGGCGAACCAGUAUUGUUAUUGGCGACGGAACAAACAGAAAUCAAGCUAGUACUGUGGUGCAUAUCUCAGGUUUUGGUUUGCAAUUCAUAAAUCCCUCCUUCCACGACUCUGUCUUGGGAUGCUGGCAAUUCCAUGAAGCAGAGCUAUUAAUGGAAAAGGAUUCUUUGAAUUGGAGCAAAGAAAGACUUUGGUCAUGAGCACAAAAAUGAGAUGAAGAAAUUGUUGAAAGGAAAUGGAAGAGAAACAGAAUGAAAGAGAGGGACGGUGGUGAAAACCCCAUGUUUGGCCUUACAGGAUUUAGUAGUAUAUUUGGGAGAGAUGAGGAAUAAAGAAAGGCAUUGUUUAUAUAUUUAGUAGUAUAUUUAUAGACAAAGCAAUCUUAUAUACUGACGAAAUCGAAGUCACUGUCCGACCAAAUCUCAAGUACAAGAGUGAGUAAUACGUGCGCAAAGCAAUGGGGGCACUAAAGACUAUGCACUUAUUUAUCGUUUCUCGUGACCCAAAAGUACUCUUUGUGUGCGCUUGGUAAUGUAUAACAGUUUAAAAAUCGUGACAGCUUAAUUUGAAUGUUCAGAUAUGUUUUUCCAAAUUGUAUUUAGCAAUGAGGUUUAUGCGAAGAUUGCUAUAAUUAAGUUUUGCUCUGGUGCCCAGUUUAUGAGUUUUGUUCUAAUCUUAAGCAGAUGCUACCAUAGAAUUAUAGAGAUUUAGGCAGUCUUUGUAUAAGGGGGGCUGCGCAAAAGUAUGUUAGUUCCAAUGAUAUUGAAGCUUUUUGUUUCUUGGAAACUAAAAUUUCUAAUUAUACGAACACCUUAGUCAAAAGUAUUUGGAGUGGGUCUAAACUGGAAUGGUAUAGUUUCUUAGCAAUUUAAUUAUGUUAUUGUAUGUGUGUUAAGCAUUAUUGCAUGCAUCACUUAUAAAGUAUUUUUAUUUUUGAACAGGAUGUCAUAGCAUGUGAUGUUAUAAAUCCUGAUCACAUAGAUGUGGAAUUUGAAUUAAUUGGAGGGUUGGAAUCUAUCAAGCAAGCUUUGUAUGAACUGGUGAUUCUUCAUUUGCGGAAACCUGAGCUCUUCUCACAUGAGAAACUUCUUGGUCCACAAAAGGGGGUAUUGUUAUAUGGACCU